rnacentral:rRNA from 1 species
CCUACGGGCGGCAGCAGUGGGGGAUAUUGCACAAUGGGGGGAACCCUGAUGCAGCGACGCCGCGUGAGCGAAGAAGUACCUCGGUAUGGUAAGCUCUAUCAGCAGGGAAGAAAAUGACGGUACCUGACUAAGAAGCCCCGUCUAAAUCCGGGCCAGCUGCCGCGGUAAUACGUCUGGGGCCAGCGUUAUCCGGAUUUACUGGGUGUAAUGGGAGCGCAGGCGGCCUGCCAAGUCUGGGGUGAAAACCCGGGGCCCAACCACGGGACUGCAUUGGAAACUGGCGGGCUGGAGUGUCUGAGGGGCAGGCGGAAUGCCUAGUGUAGCGGUGAAAUGCGUAGAUAUUAGGAGGAACACCGGUGGCGAAGGCGGCCUGCUGGACGAUGACUGACGCUGAGGCUCGAAAGCGUGGGGAGCAAACAGGAUUAGAUACCCCAGUAGUC